rnacentral:rRNA from 1 species
CCUACGGGUGGCAGCAGUGGGGAAUCUUGGGCAAUGGGCGCAAGCCUGACCCAGCAACGCCGCGUGCAGGAAGAAGGCUUUCGGGUUGUAAACUUCUUUUGUCAGGGACGAAGCUAGUGACGGUACCUGACGAAUAAGCCACGGCUAACUACGUGCCAGCCGCCGCGGUAAUACGGAGGUGGCAAGCGUUAUGCGGAUUUGUUGGGUGUAAAGGGCGUGUAGGCGGGAAUGCAUGUCAGAUGAGAACACGAUGGGCUCAACCCAUAGCCUGUAGUUUAAACUGUAGUUCUUGAGUGCUUGAGAGGCAAGCGGAAUUUCGAGUGUAGCGGUGAAAUGCGUAGAUAUACGGAGGAACACCAGUGGCGAAGGCGGAUUGCUGGACAGGAACUGACGCUGAGGCGCGAAAGCGUGGGGAGCAAACAGGAUUAGAUACCCUUGUAGUC